rnacentral:rRNA from 1 species
ACUCAAAGGAAUUGACGGGAGCCCGCACAAGCGGUGGAUUAUGUGGUUUAAUUCGAAGCAACGCGCAGAACCUUACCUGGGUUUGACAUCCUUUGACAAUUCCAGAGAUGGAACUUUCAUAGCAAUAUGACAAAGAGACAGGUGCUGCAUGGCUGUCGUCAGCUCGUGUGGUGGCAUGUCGGGUUAAGUCCCUCAACGAGCGCAACCCCUGUGUUUAGUUGCCAGCAUUAAGUUGGGCACUCUAGACAGACUGCCGUGGUUAACACGGAGGAAGGCGGGGAUGACGUCAAGUCCUCAUGGCCCUUACAUCCAGGGCGACACACGUAAUACAAUGGACGAUACAGAGGGAUGCGAAAUGGUGACAUGGAGCAAAUCUCAAAAAGUCGUUCUCAGUUCGGAUUAGAGUCUGCAACUCGACUCUAUGAAGGCGGAAUCGCUAGUAAUCGCGGAUCAGCACGCCGCGGUGAAUACGUUCCCGGGCUUUGUACACACCGCCCGU